GGUGGGUUGGCUCAGUGGUUAGAGCGUAGGUCUCGUAACCGAAAGAUUGCGGGUCGAAUUCCGCUAAAGAAUG
rnacentral:tRNA from 1 species